AUUGAACGCUGGCGGCAGGCCUAACACAUGCAAGUCGAGCGAGCGGCGGACGGGUGAGUAAUGUAUGGGGACUGCCCGAUAGAGGGGGAUAACUACUGGAAACGGUAGCUAAUACCGCAUACUCUCGGCUACCCCAUAUGGGAUUAGCUAGUGGGUGAGGUAAUGGCUCACCUAGGCGACGAUCCCUAGCUGGUCUGAGAGGAUGAUCAGCCACACGGGGACUGAGAGACGGCCCAGAAUCCUACGGAGGCAGCAGUGGGGAAUAUUGCACAAGGGGCGCAAGCCUGAUGCAGCAAUGCCGCGUGUAUGAAGAAGGCCCUAGGGUUGUAAAGUACUUUCAGUCGGGAGGCGUUACCGACAGAAGAAGCACCGGCUAACUCCGUGCCAGCAGCCGCGGUAAUUC
rnacentral:rRNA from 1 species